GCGGUAUAAAAAGGAUUUGACGGAAACUGGAAGCAUUAGUCGAACAGCACAAAAGGGAAGAAGACCUUAUGGUGAAAAGUUGGAUGUUGAUAGUGUUGACAACCAUUUUGAUGAUAUCAAAGAGGCAUGUAGUGGUACAGAAGAAGGUCAAAGAUUGGGCUCGGUGGGGGGUAAACUUGAAUUGGAGGCCUCAGAUGAAAAGAAUUCAAGGACCUCUUUACAAGGCCAUAGAAAGAGGAGCAGAAAGAUGUUUUUCAGGAGAGAUGAAGACUCCCCUUUUGAUGCUCUGCAAACUUUGGCUGAUUUGUCACUUAUGAUGCCAACAGAAAAUGAAGAUGAGUCGAUCCCUGCCAAGGAUGAUACUGAUGAUCAUGUUGAUGAAUCUGGCUCCGUAGAAGCAUUGCCUGCAAACAGACAAAGAGACAAACAUGGAUCAGCGGGGGUUAAAUCAAGAUGGAGUCA
rnacentral:misc_RNA from 1 species